AAUUAAGACUACUUACUCCUGAACAAACCUGAUCCUGUCUGAUCUCAGAAGCUAAGCAGAGUUGGUCCGGUUAGUAUUUGGAUGGGAGACCACCUAGGAAGACCAGGUGCUGUAGGUG
rnacentral:rRNA from 1 species